rnacentral:rRNA from 1 species
AGAGUUUGAUCAUGGCUCAGAAUGAACGCUGGCGGCGUGCUUAACACAUGCAAGUCGCACGAGAAAUCUUCAGCUUGCUGAAGAGAGUAAAGUGGCGCACGGGUGAGUAACGCGUGGGCAAUCUGCCUCCGAAUCGGGGAUAACAUUGCGAAAGCGAUGCUAAUACCGGAUAAAAUCUUUUUGGCUCAGGUGAAAAAGAUCAAAGGCGAUCUCUUUUUAAAAAUUGCCGUUCGGAGAUGAGCCCGCGUACCAUUAGCCGGUUGGCAGGGUGACGGCCUACCAAGGCGACGAUGGUUAGCUGGUCUGAGAGGAUGAUCAGCCACACCGGAACUGGAACACGGUCCGGACUCCUACGGGAGGCAGCAGUGAGGAAUUUUGCGCAAUGGGGGCAACCCUGACGCAGCAACGCCGCGUGAGUGAUGAAGGCUUUCGGGUCGUAAAGCUCUGUCAGGCGGGAAGAACCUGCUAUGAGUCAACACCUCAUGGCACUGACGGUACCGCCGAAGGAAGCACCGGCUAACUCCGUGCCAGCAGCCGCGGUAAUACGGGGGGUGCGAGCGUUAUUCGGAUUCAUUGGGCGUAAAGGGCGCGCAGGCGGUUUUGUAAGUCA